rnacentral:rRNA from 1 species
CGAUUGCUUUGACAGCUAGGAUGUUGGCUUGGAAGCAGCCAUUCAUUUAAAGAGUGCGUAACAGCUCACUAGUCGAGCGACUUUGCGCGGAAAAUACUCGGGCAUCAAACAUUUCACCGAAGCUGUGGAAUAGAAAUAUUGGUAGGGGAGCAUUCUAAUAAGGUUGAAGCAGUACUGUGAGGUAUUGUGGACAUAUUAGAAAAGCAAAUGUAGGAAUGAGUAACGAUAAAGCGGGUGAGAAACCCGCUCGCCGAAAAUCUAAGGUUUCCUCAGCUAUGCUAAUCAGCUGAGGGUUAGUCG